AGUUAGUUGGUAAGGUAACGGCUUACCAAGGCGACGAUGGAUAGCUGGUUUGACAGAGUGAUCAGCCACACUGGGACUGAGAUACGGCCCAGACUCCUACGGGAGGCAGCAGUGAGGAAUAUUGCGCAAUGGGCGAAAGCCUGACGCAGCAACGCCGCGUGGGGGAUGAAGCUUUAUGGAGUGUAAACCCCUGUAAGUAGGGACGAACGGUAAGUAUUCGAAUAGGAUAUUUAAUUGACGGUACCUACAGAGUAAGCUCCGGCUAACUCCGUGCCAGCAGCCGCGGUAAUACGGGGGGAGCAAGCGUUGUCCGGAAUUACUGGGCGUAAAGGGCGUGUAGGCGGUAUUGUAAGUCAGAUGUAAAAGGCUACGGCUUAACCGUAGAUGGUCAUUUGAAACUGCAGUACUUGAGUGCGAGAGAGGGUAGUGGAAUUCCCAGUGUAGCGGUGAAAUGCGUAGAUAUUGGGAAGAACACCAGUAGCGAAGGCGGCUACCUGGCUCGUAACUGACGCUAAUGCGCGUAAGCGUGGGGAGCGAACAGGAUUAGAUACCCUGGUAGUCCACGCUGUAAACGAUGAACACUAGGUGUUGGUCCCGACGUGUCGGGAUCGGUGCCGCAGCAAACGCAUUAAGUGUUCCGCCUGGGGAGUACGAUCGCAAGGUUGAAACUCAAAGGAAUUGACGGGGGCCCGCACAAGCGGUGGAGCAUGUGGUUUAAUUCGAUCAACGCGAAGAACCUUACCGGGGUUUGACAUGAUAGUGAAGUAUGCAGAGAUGUAUAUGCCUUUCGGGGCACUAUUACAGGUGCUGCAUGGCUGUCGUCAGCUCGUGUCGUGAGAUGUUGGGUUAAGUCCCGCAACGAGCGCAACCCUUGCCCCUAGUUGCCAGCAAGUAAUGUUGGGGACUCUAGGGGGACUGCCGGUGAUAAACUGGAGGAAGGUGGGGAUGACGUCAAGUCCUCAUGGCCCUUACAUCCCGGGCUACACACGUGCUACAAUGGCCGGUACAACGGGGAGCAAUACUGCGAAGUGGAGCGAAUCCCUAAAAACCGGUCUCAGUUCGGAUUGCAGUCUGCAACUCGACUGCAUGAAGUCGGAAUCGCUAGUAAUCGCGGAUCAGCACGCCGCGGUGAAUACGUUCCCGGGCCUUGUACACACCGCCCGUCACGCCAUGGAAGUCGGCAGUACCCGAAGCCGGUGGCCUAAUCCCGAUC
rnacentral:rRNA from 1 species